rnacentral:rRNA from 1 species
GAUGAACGCUGGCGGCGUGCCUAAUACAUGCAAGUCGAGCGAAUGGAUUAAGAGCUUGCUCUUAUGAAGUUAGCGGCGGACGGGUGAGUAACACGUGGGUAACCUGCCCAUAAGACUGGGAUAACUCCGGGAAACCGGGGCUAAUACCGGAUAACAUUUUGAACCGCAUGGUUCGAAAUUGAAAGGCGGCUUCGGCUGUCACUUAUGGAUGGACCCGCGUCGCAUUAGCUGGUUGGUGAGGUAACGGCUCACCAAGGCAACGAUGCGUAGCCGACCGGAGAGGGUGAGCGACCACACUGGGAGUGAGACACGGCCCAGACUCCUACGGGGGGAAGCAGUGGGAAAUCUUCCGCAGUGGACGAAAGUGUGACGGGGCAGCGCGGCGUGAGUAAUGAAGGCUUUCGGGUCGAAAAGCUCUUUUGUUAGGAAAGAACAAGGGCUAGUUGAAUAAGCGGGACCUUUGACGGUACCUAACCAGAAAGCCACGGCUAACAACGUGCAAGCCGCCGGGGUAA